CGGAUGAGGGAGCUUGCUCCUGGAUUCAGCGGCGGACGGGUGAGUAAUGCCUAGGAAUCUGCCUGGUAGUGGGGGAUAACGUCCGGAAACGGGCGCUAAUACCGCAUACGUCCUGAGGGAGAAAGUGGGGGAUCUUCGGACCUCACGCUAUCAGAUGAGCCUAGGUCGGAUUAGCUAGUUGGUGGGGUAAAGGCCUACCAAGGCGACGAUCCGUAACUGGUCUGAGAGGAUGAUCAGUCACACUGGAACUGAGACACGGUCCAGACUCCUACGGGAGGCAGCAGUGGGGAAUAUUGGACAAUGGGCGAAAGCCUGAUCCAGCCAUGCCGCGUGUGUGAAGAAGGUCUUCGGAUUGUAAAGCACUUUAAGUUGGGAGGAAGGGCAGUAAGUUAAUACCUUGCUGUUUUGACGUUACCAACAGAAUAAGCACCGGCUAACUUCGUGCCAGCAGCCGCGGUAAUACGAAGGGUGCAAGCGUUAAUCGGAAUUACUGGGCGUAAAGCGCGCGUAGGUGG
rnacentral:rRNA from 1 species